rnacentral:sRNA from 1 species
CACACAAAUUUCAUUGAAAUUUAGACCUCAGAAUCAAACCUUUAAAAAUAAAAGCAACACUGUUUCAUCUGAGAUCAUUUUUUCAUUCUUAUGUGCAGUGGAUCCAAACUUCUACAGCAAAAACUUACUUCUUUUAGGAAAGACAUACUUGAAACUACACAACAAAAAGCUUGCUGCUUUCUGGCUAAUGAAAGCCAAGGACUAUCCAGCACACACAGAGGAGGAUAAACAGAUACAGACAGAAGCUGCUCAGUUGCUUACAAGUUUCAGUGAGAAGAACUGAGAACUUUUCAGAGAAGAUGUAUGAAAUAGCUAAUAAACAUUGCCUUUUCUUUUAAUUCUAAACUUAAUAUAUGAACUAUAACUGUUCUACGCUUUUUAAAUGUUGUGACUGUUUAACAUUGUAAAUAUAAAAAAUUCUAGGCUUCUUCACAAAUAAUAAGGUAAAAGAAAUAAUCGCCAUAAGAAUGGUAGAAAUAAA